rnacentral:rRNA from 1 species
GGCAUUCGGAGCUACACAUGCAGCCGAGCGGUAGAGUCUCUUCGGAGACUUGAGAGCGGCGCACGGGUGCGGAACACGUGUGCAACCUGCCUUUAUCUGGGGGAUAGCCUUUCGAAAGGAAGAUUAAUACCCCAUAAUAUAAGAAACGGCAUCGUUUUUUAUUGAAAACUCCGGUGGAUAGAGAUGGGCACGCGCAAGAUUAGAUAGUUGGUGAGGUAACGGCUCACCAAGUCGACGAUCUUUAGGGGGCCUGAGAGGGUGAUCCCCCACACUGGUACUGAGACACGGACCAGACUCCUACGGGAGGCAGCAGUGAGGAAUAUUGGACAAUGGGUGAGAGCCUGAUCCAGCCAUCCCGCGUGAAGGAUGACGGCCCUAUGGGUUGUAAACUUCUUUUGUAUAGGGAUAAACCUACCCUCGUGAGGGUAGCUGAAGGUACUAUACGAAUAAGCACCGGCUAACUCCGUGCCAGCAGCCGCGGUAAUACGGAGGGUGCAAGCGUUAUCCGGAUUUAUUGGGUUUAAAGGGUCCGUAGGCGGAUCUGUAAGUCAGUGGUGAAAUCUCACAGCUUAACUGUGAAACUGCCAUUGAUACUGCAGGUCUUGAGUGUUGUUGAAGUAGCUGGAAUAAGUAGUGUAGCGGUGAAAUGCAUAGAUAUUACUUAGAACACCAAUUGCGAAGGCAGGUUACUAAGCAACAACUGACGCUGAUGGACGAAAGCGUGGGGAGCGAACAGGAUUAGAUACCCUGGUAGUCCACGCCGUAAACGAUGCUAACUCGUUUUUGGGGCGUAAGCUUCAGAGACUAAGCGAAAGUGAUAAGUUAGCCACCUGGGGAGUACGAACGCAAGUUUGAAACUCAAAGGAAUUGACGGGGGCCCGCACAAGCGGUGGAUUAUGUGGUUUAAUUCGAUGAUACGCGAGGAACCUUACCAAGGCUUAAAUGGGAAAUGACAGGCUUAGAAAUAGCUUUUCUUCGGACAUUUUUCAAGGUGCUGCAUGGUUGUCGUCAGCUCGUGCCGUGAGGUGUUAGGUUAAGUCCUGCAACGAGCGCAACCCCUGUCACUAGUGCCAUCAUUAAGUUGGGGACUCUAGUGAGACUGCCUACGC